GACGAACGCUGGCGGCGUGCUUAACACAUGCAAGUCGAACGAGGCUCCUUCUUCGGUUGGGGUUCUAGUGGCGAACGGGUGAGUAACACGUGGGCAACCUGCCCCUGGCUCUGGGAUAACUCCAAGAAAUUGGGGCUAAUACCGGAUAUGACCGCUGAUCGCAUGGUCUGGUGGUGGAAAGAUUUAUCGGCUGGGGAUGGGCCCGCGGCCUAUCAGCUUGUUGGUGGGGUAGUGGCCCACCAAGGCGACGACGGGUAGCCGGCCUGAGAGGGUGACCGGCCACACUGGGACUGAGACACGGCCCAGACUCCUACGGGAGGCAGCAGUGGGGAAUAUUGCGCAAUGGGCGAAAGCCUGACGCAGCGACGCCGCGUGGGGA
rnacentral:rRNA from 1 species